GAUGAACGCUGGCGGCGUGCCUAAUACAUGCAAGUCGAGCGAACAGAUGAGGAGCUUGCUCAUCUGACGUUAGCGGCGGACGGGUGAGUAACACGUGGAUAACCUACCUAUAAGACUGGGAUAACUUCGGGAAACCGGAGCUAAUACCGGAUAAUAUAUUGAACCGCAUGGUUCAAUAGUGAAAGACGGUUUUGCUGUCACUUAUAGAUGGAUCCGCGCCGCAUUAGCUAGUUGGUAAGGUAACGGCUUACCAAGGCAACGAUGCGUAGCCGACCUGAGAGGGUGAUCGGCCACACUGGAACUGAGACACGGUCCAGACUCCUACGGGAGGCAGCAGUAGGGAAUCUUCCGCAAUGGGCGAAAGCCUGACGGAGCAACGCCGCGUGAGUGAUGAAGGUCUUCGGAUCGUAAAACUCUGUUAUUAGGGAAGAACAAAUGUGUAAGUAACUAUGCACGUCUUGACGGUACCUAAUCAGAAAGCCACGGCUAACUACGUG
rnacentral:rRNA from 1 species